rnacentral:rRNA from 1 species
UACGGAGGGUGCAAGCGUUGUCCGGAUUUAUUGGGUUUAAAGGGUGCGUAGGCGGCCUAUUAAGUCAGUGGUGAAAUCCUGCAGCUUAACUGUAGAACAGCCAUUGAUACUGAUGUGCUUGAGUUCAGACGAGGUAGGCGGAAUUUAUGGUGUAGCGGUGAAAUGCAUAGAUACCAUAAAGAACACCGAUUGCGAAGGCAGCUUACUAGACUGAAACUGACGCUGAGGCACGAAAGCGUGGGGAUCAAACAGG